AUGGUGACUGGACAUUCCAUGGGAGGGGCCAUGGCUUCGUUUUGUGCCCUUGAUCUUAUUGUGAGUGCUAAUAUUUGUCUGAAGAAGAUAUGCUUUCAUUUAUUCAGAAGUUUCUCUAUUUUUCAUGAAUUCAUCCUCGUGCUAAAUUCUACUACAAGCUUACGACAUGCUUCUGAUUUUAGCCACCAUAUUGGGCUCGAUAGCCUAGUAUACCCGAUCGAGCAAAUCUGUGACGAUUCUGGUGAAGAACCCACUUGCAGCAGGUCCGUCAGUGGAAAUAGCGUGCAAGACCAUAUCCACUAUCUUGGCAUCUGCAUGCAUUCCGAAUCGCGGGGAUCAUGCAGGAUCGUCGCAGAUGACAAUAUGCUCAGGUACAAAGUUGGCACUGUAGACGGCGCUAUUGUCUUCUCGAAGCAGCCUGGUUUAUCAGUUGAUCAGCUACUCAGUGCACAGUGA
rnacentral:rRNA from 1 species